rnacentral:misc_RNA from 1 species
GAUGAAGAACGCAGCGAAAUGCGAUACGUAAUGUGAAUUGCAGAAUUCAGUGAAUCAUCGAGUCUUUGAACGCACAUUGCGCCCCCUGGUAUUCCGGGGGGCAUGCCUGUCCGAGCGUCAUUGCUGCCCUCAAGCACGGCUUGUGUGUUGGGCGUCCGUCCUCCUCCCGGGGGACGGGCCCGAAAGGCAGCGGCGGCACCGCGUCCGGUCCUCGAGCGUAUGGGGCUUCGUCACCCGCUCUUGUAGGCCCGGCCGGCGCUUGCCGACACAUCAAUCUUUUUUCCAGGUUGACCUCGGAUCAGGUAGGGAUACCCGCUGAACUUAAGCAUAUCAAUAAGCGGAGGA